UGGCACGCUGCAGAAAUGUUACAGUUGCUCUUCCCCUUAUCUACAUAAACAACAUAACUUUGUCAGAAAAUUGAAAAUGUGCACUUUGUCCCAUCGGCUAAAAUGGGCUGUCAGAUAAGGUUUUUUUUUUUUUUUCUCUGUUGCAUCCGAUGAAUGAUGUAAAUGGUUUUCGGCUUUGGAGUUUUUUUGCCAGGCACCAGAGUAAAUGAUCAGAGUAGUAACAUUUUUAACCUUAUCUAUCAUACUGAAACAUUUUUUCUGCCUCCAAUAAAACAUGUCAGAGUCGAUUAAGGACAUUUUUCAAUGAGGUAUAAUUCACAGAUUUUAGUAGUGAAUUCAAGAGCACUGAAGUAUUAAAGAGGCUGUGAAUACUUAAUUACGGAUACGUUGCCAUCCUACCUUUUGCCUGAAUUCCCUUAACGCUUUGGAGCUCUGCCUGAAAAGGCGCGUUUUGUCUGACGGCCGGGUCGGAGGAGCGGCAGGUACGAUGGCCGGGGAUGUGUCACAUUGUAUCUGGUGACAGGGCCAUGAAAGAUACGGCGGCUCAGAGCGUUUGGCGCUGCUUAUCUGGUACAUGAGUGCACAUUACUUCCCAAAGCCCGGGAUCGCUUUGGACAGUAUCAUUAAAUGCCACGUCAUUACCUGUUAUGGAGGAGUGCUUUAGCUUCAAGGGCCUCUCGGGACCCGUGCAACAGUCGGAAGAAUGAUGGGCAAAGAUGGAGCCGGCAUUAAAUUUUCAAUGGAAGCAGUAUUGGCUUUGACUUUUCAGAAGCCUUAUCUGUUAGAUGGUGUUUGUCACUGGGCCGCGGAGCUGUGGAUGUUCGUCAGUUGGAAGUUGCCGGCAGUUGAACGAUAUGGACAGAUCCCCUUCAGGAGACGAGCAACCACAUGAAGACUGGGAAUUGUCUGCGUCCUAGUGUGGCCAAGGCCCUGCUGUCCUGUGGCCCCGAACGUCAGCUCCCACGAUGCAGACUUUGCAAGUCUCGUCAUCCACUCUUCCAGAAUGCGGACGAACCGGGCGGAGAACCCCACCCACGCAGGCAUGCAGUGAGAGGGGGAGCCUAGGCUGGGGGUGGUGAGGGGCCAGGACAGAGGGCAGAGUGGGUGACCCGGGGAUUGCCGGCCUUCAGCUGGGGCAGGACGUGUCCAGCUGUGUUCCUCCGUCAGACCCAGGACGCACUGGGUUUCGGUUGGACGGGGCACGGACAGAGGCACAGCGGCGUUAGGCAGAAGCGGUGCGAAGAGACACGAAUAGCACAAACCAAGGGCUGGGAAUGGCCCCAGGCGUGGGGGCAUGUUUGCCUCGUCUCAGUCGCUCAACAAUCCUCAGACGGAGGCAGGGACAGCCUCGGAGUGUUAGAUUAGGGCGGUGGGUCACUGAGGGGUCAUGUCAUUUGCCCAGGCUCACAAAACACUAGUGGGUGGUUGAAACUGAUCUCAGA
rnacentral:lncRNA from 1 species